GUUUUAUUAAAUCAAUGUCUUCUGGGUUUCAGACAGAAAAACAUUAGGCUUUAGAGAAGACUUCAGAAGUAACAUAUGAGGAUAAUAACUCAUGAAUUUGGAUACUGUUGUCGUGGAUAGUCUGAGUUCUUCAGCUGUUAACAGGGCAAGAAGAGGAUAGAGAGCUAGACCAUGCCAGUGUGCUGGCAGUGGGCUUGAUGAUUUGAGCCACUGACUGUAAUAUAGACACAGUCAAGUUAAGAUCCACACAUGCACUAUUAACAAGGACGUGCUUCACCUUAUCUUGAGUAGGGAGAGAGGGCUAAGUAUAGUAAAAUCUUUAAAAAAAGAGAGAGAGAGCUAAUUUAACACCAGAGCAGUUAACAAAGCCAUACUGAUUUGGUUGUUGUCUGUUUCCAUCCAGUGUGUUUGUGUAGCUUUUAUCCAGCUUGAGAGAUGGAUAAUUGGUGGUUCUCUCUUGCAUGCUUUAAAGGACCUGAGCUUCAACAAGCUAGUGAUUUAUGAUACAACUGCCUAUCACUCUUGCCCCCAUUCAUUAUACAACCGCCAUUAUGCAAAGUGACUUGAGACAACCAAUAGAAAUAAAACUCUGUUUUAUAAAGUAGUCCACAGACUAUUAUUUCAAAAUAAGACAUAUAAAAAGAAAGUGUUAGGAAAUGUAUUGAAAGAAGAGGCUUUGUAAAUUCAUUAAACUUAAGACUUUGAAAGUUAUUGGGAUAACUGAAUUUUGAGAAAGUAGCAAGUUCAAAAGAAUACUGAUAAUUUUAUUGUAUGUAAUUUUUUAAGUGAAUAAAAAGAUUAUUAGAAUUC
rnacentral:lncRNA from 1 species